UGAGCCGGCCAGACAGUCGCUGUUGAUCUCGUAUCAAUGGAGGAAAGUCCGGGCUCCACAGGGUAGAACGCCAGAUAGCGUCUGGGUGGUGUGAACCAACGGAAAGUGCCACAGAAAAUAUACCGCUGACUCCGGUCAGUAAGGGUGAAAUGGUGCGGUAAGAGCGCACCGCGCGUCUGGUAACAGGCGUGGCAGGGUAAACCCCGUUCGGAGCAAGGCCAAAUAGGGGAGUUGGGGCGAAAGUCCCGCCUGUGACCCACAGGGCUCCCGGGUAGGCUGCUUGAGAUGCCUGGUGACAGGUAAUCCAGAUGAAUGACUGUCCGCGACAGAACCCGGCUUAUCGGCCGGCUCAGACU
rnacentral:RNase_P_RNA from 1 species